rnacentral:rRNA from 1 species
AUUGAACGCUGGCGGCAUGCCUUACACAUGCAAGUCGAACGGUAACAGGUCUUCGGAUGCUGACGAGUGGCGAACGGGGGAGUAAUACAUCGGAACGUGCCCGAUCGUGGCGGAUAAUGAGGCGAAACCUCUGCUAAUACCGCAUACGACCUACGGAUGAAAGCGGGGGACCUUCGGGCUCCGCGCGGACGGAUCGGCCGAUGGCGGAUUAGGUCGUUGGUGGGAUACAAGCUUACCAAGCCGACGAUCUGUAGCUGGUCUGCGAGGAUGAUCAGCCACACUGGGACUGAGACACGGCCCAGACUCCUACGAGAGGCAGCAGUGGGGAAUUUUGGACAAUGGGCGAAAGCCUGAUCCAGCCAUGCCGCGUGCAGGAUGAAGGCCUUUGGGUUGUAAACUGCUUUUGUACGGAACGAAAAGCCUCUUUCUAAUAAAGAGGGGUCAUGACGGUACCGUAAGAAUAAGCACCGGCUAACUACGUG